CAUCAAUGUACUCCCUAUAACACUAUUAGGUGUGUUUAAAGGAACGAAACAUAAAAUCUGUCUUGUUUCUGGCAGAUUCUCACUUGCCACGCUUCUUGAGUUGAGCAUUUCACUUAGUGUGCACAGUUGAGAUAUAUAGUUACACAAAAAUUCUAAUUAAAGUCUUCAAAUACAUAAAUUAAAUCAGCACAUAUUUGUUCUUUGUAGAUUCCCUGCUGGGAUAAAAUCAGUCAGGAUUAUUCACUAAACUUCUUUCAUAAAAUACUUUAUUAUAAAUGAACAGUCAAUUAACCCAUUCAAUACCCGGAUUGAGUAAAAAAAUAUUAGAUUUUUCAUGUAUUUUUCAGUAUGAAAUAUAGUCCAUAAAGUCUCACUCACCAUCAUGUAUACUCUAUUUAUGAUUACAUGCCUGUAGAACACAUUUCUCUACCAGUAGUGUUAUAAUGCUAUAUAAUGUCUGCUCACCUCCUGCUUUAAAAUAGAAAAAGAGGUUUUAAUGGGUCAUAUUAUUCCUCCAGUCGUUGAGGGUGAGUGUGGAUAGACUCUACCAUUUCACUAUUGGCAUUACAUUAGCGUUCCAGAGACAGACAAAGAUUGCUAUAGCAGUUUUAAAUAGAAAUAUAUGAAUUAUGUCUAUUUGUAUGGGCCAGAC